UAGGCACAUGUGGCAGAACGCACCGCUGUGGACCGCUGCCCCCUGACCAUCCUCCCGCCUCACAACUUGCUGCCGUGUGUUUCAGUGCUCACAAGCGCCGCGAUAUCAACAUCAAGACCCCCUCUUCCUCCCACGCACGCACACUUGUCUUGGGUGCGGCCUCCUCCCAUCGAGUCCGUGGCGAACGACCAGACCCGUCGAGAGAGGUGAAGCAGCGCAACAGCGACGGCACACGCACACACGAACAUCAACUUGCACGCCUCACCUUUCGCAGAGGCCGAAAAUGAGCGAGCGGAAGCCCGACGUCAAGUUGGCGGACAUUAGUCCGGAGAUGCAGGCAGACGCCCUAGACAUUGCCACCAAAGCCAUCAAGGAGCAUCAUCUAGAGAAAGAUAUGGCCGCGCACAUCAAGCGCGAGUUCGACAAGCGCUACUUCCCUACGUGGCACUGCAUCGUCGGCCGCAACUUUGGCGCCGAUGUCGAGCACGAGGCCAAGAAUUUCAUAUACCUCUACGUUGGGCAGGUGUCCGUGCUCUUGUGGAAGACAGCGUAGGACAUGCUGGGAGCUGCGUACGUGCAUUGUGCGGCGUCUCUUGAGCUCUGCGCGUUGGCCUCUCCUCCUGCUCCCCCUUUUGUUCCCCCCCCCGGCGGGGGGGGCCGCUGUGUCGCUGUUGGCUGGCGCGAUUGCGCCGUUGCCGUGACGAUUUCGCAAGAGCACACAUCUGUGCGCCGUCUUGGAUGUACAUAGGCUGGCAUGCCAUCGCGCACCCAUACGCACCCAUCGUGCACUUGGGCAACGCCCGCGACUUGCCGGCCUCUUAGAGCAUGCAUUGCGCCUGCGCGUGCGGGUGUGUUUGAGGUCUUGGGCCACUCUUUGUUUGCCUCGCCCUCGUGAGUUGUAGCGGUGCCCCCCCCCCCUGUCGUUCCCAACCGCAACGAUGCAAACCACUAAGAAUGCGAAUAGCUCUCCAGACCGAGCAUGGAGUGUAUGAGCAUCAGCGUCCCUGCGCGUAUGUCAUUGCAGGCAUCCUUCUUUCUCUGCACGCGCCCUCGCGGUUGCCCCUUGAAGGCCAGACGCCCCGCUGCCGCGCUGGCGCGCUUCGCGUUGCCGAAUCUCAGUCGUGCCUGCCUUGGCGUACACGCACAGGUUUUGUUGAAGGACUGGGUAGCAGAAGAGCCACUGCCGAGCCCAUACGUCGGCGCGAAUUCCUGUACGAGGCCCCUCCCGCUGCCCUGCCCCUCUCGUUUAGCCUCUCACACCUUUUCUUCUGCCUGCCUCUUUCUCUUUGUCGUUCUUGGUAUGAGCGCCAG
rnacentral:misc_RNA from 1 species